rnacentral:tRNA from 1 species
GAUAAUGAAGUAAAAAUUACAACUAGUUUCGACCUAGUAGUCAGAGAAAUAAUUAAUAAUUCUCCUUAUCU